rnacentral:tRNA from 1 species
GGGAAGGUGGCUUAAUGGUAGAGUGCUUGCCUAGCAUGCAUGAAGCCCCAGGUUCAAUUCCUCAGUACCA